rnacentral:rRNA from 1 species
ACGCUCGACACCUACGGGAGGCAGCAGUGGGGAAUAUUGCACAAUGGGGGAAACCCUGAUGCAGCAACGCCGCGUGAGUGAAGAAGUAUUUCGGUAUGUAAAGCUCUAUCAGCAGGGAAGAAAAUGACGGUACCUGACUAAGAAGCCCCGGCUAACUACGUGCCACAGCCGCGGUAAUCUGAGCGGGCUGGCAAGGC